rnacentral:rRNA from 1 species
CCUGACUGCUAUCGGAUUGAUACUAAGCCAUGCGAGUCAUUGUAGCAAUACAAGGCAGACGGCUCAGUAACGCGUAGUCAACCUAACCUAUGGACGGGAAUAACCUCGGGAAACUGAGAAUAAUGCCCGAUAGAACACUAUGCCUGGAAUGGUUUGUGUUCCAAAUGAUUUAUCGCCGUAGGGUGGGACUGCGGCCUAUCAGUUUGUUGGUGAGGUAAUGGCCCACCAAGACUAUUACAGGUACGGGCUCUGAGAGGAGUAGCCCGGAGAUGGGUACUGAGACACGGACCCAGGCCCUAUGGGGCGCAGCAGGCGAGAAAACUUUGCAAUGUGCGAAAGCACGACAAGGUUAAUCCGAGUGGUUUGUGCUAAACAGACCUUUUGUUAGUCCUAGAAACACUAACGAAUAAGGGGUGGGCAAGUUCUGGUGUCAGCCGCCGCGGUAAAACCAGCACCUCAAGUGGUCAGGAUGAUUAUUGGGCCUAAAGCAUCCGUAGCCGGCUCUGUAAGUUUUCGGUUAAAUCUGUAUGCUCAACAUACAGGCUGCCGGGAAUACUGCAGAGCUAGGGAGUGGGAGAGGUAGACGGUACUCGGUAGGAAGGGGUAAAAUCCUUUGAUCUAUUGAUGACCACCUGUGGCGAAGGCGGUCUACCAGAACACGUCCGACGGUGAGGGAUGAAAGCUGGGGGAGCAAACCGGAUUAGAUACCCGGGUAGUCCCAGCUGUAAACUAUGCAAACUCAGUGAUGCAUUGGCUUGUGGCCAAUGCAGUGCUGCAGGGAAGCCGUUAAGUUUGCCGCCUGGGAAGUACGUACGCAAGUAUGAAACUUAAAGGAAUUGGCGGGGGAGCACCACAAGGGGUGAAGCCUGCGGUUC